GAGGUAGAGCUGCCAUGCCCAAAGCCCUGGCAGCAUUGCUCCCCCCGAGCUGGGGCUGCCCAGGAGCUGCCUGCCCGUACAGCUGUGUCCCAACCAGCCACAGCUGUACUCGUCUGGAGAGUUAAAGUGCAUUGCGGCAGAAAAGGGUUUGCUUUUUAAUUCUUUUUUUUUUUUAAUUUUUUUUUUUUUUAAGAGGAACCUAUUUAAAGUGCUGUUCUAGUUUGGAAAGGGACUCUGUUUAGGAAAAAAAAAUGGCACCUUUUCACAUGAGAGAUUCACUCUCUGUAUGUGUGUAUAUAUAUAUAUAUAUAUAUAUAAAUUUGCAGAGUCAGAUCUGCUGACUAAUGAACAACAUAUAAAAGUGUUUGUAUUUUAUCUUAUUGCUUUUUUUCGUUUUAUUUUUUUUUACUGCUGCCUGCUACCUUGGAGGCAGGAGGGAGAUGGAUUCUCCUUUUACCUUCCCCACCAUUAACUGAUUUCCCAGUGCAGGAAUGUGGUCUCACAGCUCUGGCCCAGGAGACAGUUCACUGUCACACAGCACACAGGAGGUGACAAAGUCCCCCUGAACUGUCACAGCCCCAUGGGAAACCUGCAAAGGAUCACAGUAAGGAACUGGAGGCCGAGAAGGACUGUGGACCCCGAGGGACUCCCGUUGCUCCUGCCAGAUGCCAUUUUCAUUAGAGUCACUUUACAGAGCAGACUUGCAUUUCUGAAACACAGAGCUUUGCCAGAACAUGCUUGUUUUACAACAAAACUGUUAAGGACUGUGAAGAACACCUUCAGAAGGCCCCACCAUCCAACAAGUUUCAAAUCCUUUCAAGGCUGCAACUCCCUAGCAGCACAAGUCUUUAAGUCUUACUCAUAUCCAUGUUUUUGUCACCAAAGACCUUUCAAAAUUCCCACCUAAAAAAGGUUCCUCCUAUUUCCGAGAGACAUCACAAACUGUAAUACUUUGGUUUACAACUAGAUUAAAAUAUAAAUUAAAUAAGAAAAUG